rnacentral:misc_RNA from 1 species
UCUCUCUCUCUCUCUCUUUCAUUUCCCUGCUUGCCGUUCUUUCUAGUCUCUCCCUCUGUCCACAGCCCCACCCCUCACAGCCCCAAACCCUAGACCUCUCCUUCUCUAUCCAUCUCUUUCUUCAGUUUUAUCAUCUAGAUUUUAAUUUUCCGUCCGAAUUUUCCCGACAAAAUUGAAAGGAAAAGAAGUAAUUAGUGGAAUUGAAAAAGAUUUCCCGGAGGAGAGAAUUGUGGAAAUGGCGACAUCUUCUAUCACCAGCACGGUGUAUAUCCACGUCAUCGAAGACGUCAUCAACAAGGUACGCGAUGAGUUCAUCAGCAACGGCGGGCCUGGCGAGAGUGUCCUCAAUGAACUCGAAGGAAUUUGGGAGAUGAAAAUGAUGCAAGCGGGUGUAAUAUGCGGUCCAAUAGAGAGGUCAUCAGCUUCUAAGCCGGCACCUGGUGGUCCUAUCACUCCAGUACACGACCUUAAUGUACCUUAUGAAGGGACUGAGGAGUAUGAGACUCCUACUGCUGAGAUACUCUUCCCUCCCACACCACUUCAAACCCCCAUUCCAACACCACUGCCAGGAAGUGUGCAAACACCUUUACCAGGAAACUUGCAGACACCUUUACCAGGAAAUAUGCAGACACCAAGUGUGGACAACUCCUCUAUGUAUAACGUUCCUACUGGACCUACUAGUGAGUAUCCCACCCCUGUAAGCGAUACUGGUGGCAGCAUCGAGGCAAAGUCUGGGAGGCCUAGCCCUUACAUGCAACCUCCUUCUCCUUGGAUGAAUCAGAGACCUCCUCUUGAUGUUAACAUUGCUUAUGUGGAAGGGCAGAAUGAGACAGACAGAGUAGCCUCUCAGCAACCGCGAACGCAGGAUUUCUUCAUGAUGUCUUCUGGAAAACGCAAGCGUGAAGAUUUUGGUACACAAUAUAACAAUGGUGAAUUCAUACCCCAGCAGGAUGGAGCUGGGGAUGCUCCCUAUGAGGCUUUGCAGGCAAGCCAAGGGAAUGGUGCCCUUGGUAGACAUGACAUGAUCACCAAUGCAAAUAUAUCGAUCUUAUCGCAUGCAACAAGGCAGGCUUUGAAGAUUCCUCAACUGGAUGGGCCCAUACCUGAUCCUUAUGAUGAUGUGCUUUCAACUCCCAAUAUAUACAAUUAUCAGGGAGUUGUUAAUGAAGAUUACAACAUUGCGAACACGCCAGCUCCUAAUGACCUACAAGCAGGCACUCCUGCUGUUGCUACUCAAAAUGAUGCUGGAGAUGAUGACGAUGAUGAUGAGCCGCUGAAUG